UACGUAGGGUGCGAGCGUUGUCCGGAAUUAUUGGGCGUAAAGAGCUCGUAGGCGGUUUGUCGCGUCGGCCGUGAAAACUUGGGGCUUAACCCCAAGCCUGCGGUCGAUACGGGCAGACUUGAGUUCGGCAGGGGAGACUGGAAUUCCUGGUGUAGCGGUGAAAAUGCGCAGAUAUCAGGAGGAACACCGAUGGCGAAGGCAGGUCUCUGGGCAUUAACUGACGCUGAGGAGCGAAAAGCAUGGGGAGCGAACAGG
rnacentral:rRNA from 1 species